GCCGGAAUAGCUCAGUUGGUAAAGCAGA
rnacentral:tRNA from 1 species